CAGGAAGAAGAAAGGCAGAGGCAGAGGAGAGACACCAGCUGCUACCUAAGGAACAGCAAGAUGCCAGAAGACUGGAUGCAGAAGCCUGAUUUCCAACAUCUAAAAGCAAAACUCAAGGUCCUUCAGAGUCUGGGGGAGGCUGAGACCAGAUUGAAGAGCUGAAAUAACAUUACCUGGAGAAAUGUACUCUGGGAUACCAUGCUCCAAGUCAGAGCAAAACAGCCAAAGACCUUGUUACUGUAAUUUACAAUUUUUUUGAGCAUGCAUCCAUAAACAAGACAUUUGUAUAAGUGCUGAAAAUUUUAAUUAAAUGGCAUGAAACCUGCUGCAAUGUA